AUUGAACGCUAGCGGGAUGCCUAACACAUGCAAGUCGAGCGAGCGGCGGGCGGGUGAGUAAUGUAUGGGGACUGCCCGAUAGCGGGGGAUAACUACUGGAAACGGUAGCUAAUACCGCGUACUAUGGGCUACGCCAUAUGGGAUUAGCUAGUCGGUGAGGUAAUGGCGCACCUAGGCGACGAACCCUAGCUGGUCUGAGAGGAUGAUCAGCCACACUGGGACUGAGACACGGCCCAGACUCCUACGGAGGCAGCAGUGGGGAAUAUUGCACAAUGGGCGCAAGCCUGAGGCAGCCAUGCCGCGUGUAUGAAGAAGGCCCUAGGGUUGUAAAGUACUUUCAGUCGGGAGGCGUUAUCGACAGAAGAAGCACCGGCUAACUCCGUGCCAGCAGCCGCGGUAAUUC
rnacentral:rRNA from 1 species